UGAUGACGAGACGCUAAGGCGUUGAAGCAGUGUAUGUCAGACUUCCAAGAAAAGCUCGCAAUGUCAUAAAUAGAAAAUGCCUGUACCAUAACCGACACAGGUGGGUAGGUAGAGUAUACUAAGGGGCGCGAGAUAACUCUCUCUAAGGAACUCGGCAAAAUGACUCCGUAACUUCGGGAGAAGGAGUGCCUUAUUUAUAAGGUUGCAAUAACAAGAUCCAAGCAACUGUUUAUCAAAAACACAGGUCUCCGCUAAGUCGUAAGACGAUGUAUGGGGGCUGACGCCUGCCCAGUGCCAGAAGGUUGAAGAAGUUGGUUAGUGUAUGCGAAGCUGAUGACUGAAGCCCUGGUGAACGGCGGCCGUAACAAUAACGGUCCUAAGGUAGCGAAAUUCCUUGUCGGGUAAGUUCCGACCCGCACGAAAGGCGUAAUGAUUUGGAUACUGUCUCGGAGAGAGGCUCGGUGAAAUAGACUUGUCUGUGAAGAUGCGGACUACCUGCACCAGGACAGAAAGACCCUAUGAAGCUUUACUGUAACUUGAAAUUGGAAUUGGACUUUGCUUGCGCAGUAUAGGUGGGAAGCGUUGAAGAUAUUCUUGCGGGAGUAUUGGAGCUAUCAGUGAGAUACCACUCUUGUAAUGUUAGAUUUCUAACUUUGAACCAUAAUCUGGUCAAAGAACAGUUUCAGGUGGGCAGUUUGACUGGGGCGGUCGCCUCCCAAAUGGUAACGGAGGCGUACAAAGGUUUCCUCUGAACGGAUAGAAAUCGUAUCUAGAGUGUAAAGGCAUAAGGAAGCUUGACUGUGAGACCUACAAGUCGAGCAGGGACGAAAGUCGGUCUUAGUGAUCUGACGGUACUGAGUGGAAAGGCCGUCACUCAACGGAUAAAAGUUACUCUAGGAUAACAGGCUGAUCUCCCCCAAGAGUUCACAUCGACGGGGAGGUUUGGCACCUCGAUGUCGGCUCAUCGCAUCCUGGGGCGGUAGUACGUCCCAAGGGUUGGGCUGUUCGCCCAUGAAAGCGGUACGCGAGCUGGGUUCAGAACGUCGUGAGACAGUUCGGUCCAUAUCCGGUGUAGGCGCUAGAAUAUUGAGAGGAGCCUUCUUUAGUACGAGAGGACCGAGAAGGACACACCGCUGGUGUACCAGUUAUCGUGCCAACGGUAAACGCUGGGUAGCUAUGUGUGGAGUGGAUAACCGCUGAAAGCAUCUAAGUGGGAAGCCCACCUCAAGAUGAG
rnacentral:rRNA from 1 species